AAAGGGGUGGAGUUAUGAGAGGUCUAUGGCGCAGUUUCCGGCAACACAACACAAGACGAGCAGGGCAAGUUAUAUGGACGACAAUACUUCGGUGGCGGCCCAAGGCCUGGCAAUGUAGGCGCUGCACAUUGGAGGAUACUUCAAAAGGGGAGCUUCUCAAGCAUUACCACGUCAAGCACAGUAUUUAUGGAUGUGGCUGAGCUGAACCAAAACCAACUAAUCACCAAUUAAAGAAGAGAGACAGCCCAGUCAUUAAGGACUUGAUGUGGAGAACUUUUGCACAUAGAGGAACAUACGACACACACAUGAGCAUCAGUGACAUGAAGCACAGGUGGCCUACCUUGUUUAAUGUCUCACAGGAGAGGAAGGUGCCAUAAGGGAGACGAAAGGACACCAAAACUGAUGUCCUUGUUUCCAGCAAGGAAAAGCGUUGUCAGAGCAACAAUUCAAGCACAGACAAACAUUCUACUUCAGAUUGAAUCCAACGUGGGCAGACAAGGGACGUUGUCAUCCGAUGCCUUAUUGACUAUCUUGCAGGACAUGCCAGUGCCCUAUUCCAGGACUUUGAGGAUGCUGAGGAUGGAUCAACCAGCAUUCAAGAAAAGAUGGCAUAGUGAUUGAGGGCAGCACCGUCCACAGCACUCUUGGGGAUCUUAGCCAAGCCUGCUACUAUCUGAUGGGACUGACGUAUGCACGAGACCUGCGGUUCCCCAAGACCCUGUCAUCCAGUUUUAUGGUGUUCCAGAAAGUACUGCUGGAUCUGGAUUUAUGGAAACCUUUCAAAGACUUCAAAAACUGAAGAAUUACCUCCUGUAUGUCUUUGGUGGCAGCAACACAGUGGUCAAGUGGUUAGCGCACAGACCUAACAGCUAGGAGACCAGGGUUCAAUUCCACCCUCGGCCAUCUCUGUGUUGUAUUUGCAUGUUCUCCCCUUGCAUGCGUGAAUGCGGGUACUCCGGUUUCCUCCCACAUUCCAAAAAACAAGCUAUGUUAAUUGGCAACUCCAAAUUGUCCAUAGGUAUGAAUGUAAACAUACACAUUAACUUUCUUUAUUGUCAUUGCACAAUAACACAGCAGUGAAAUUGCCACUGAAAUGUUGUUGCCUGGCUCCUGUAAUGUGAAUGGUUGUCUAUAUGUGCCCUGUGAUUGGCUGGCCACCAUUCCAGGGUGUACCCCGCCUCUCGCCCGUAGACAGCUGGGAUAGGCUCCAGCACUUGUGAGGACAAAGCGGUAGAAAAUGAAUGAAUGUUGUUGGUGGCCACUAUUCAAAACGAUGCUUUCUGAGUGAUUUUUUUGUUGGUGAGGUUUACCUGUCCUAAGUAUAGAAGUUUCAUGUGUUAAUGUUUAAUGUCUUAAUGCCAUGAGAAUGUCAUUCUUUCUGCAUUUCAGUCAUGUGCUGCAUCAAUUUCUGCCAGAUGCUCAUAUGCUCAUUUUGAUGUUGAUGUACCCUGAGGUUAUAUAGUUAAAAUGGAGAUUUCUCAGACUUUGUCCAAUAAUGAUGGCGAGAUGACACCCCGUGAGGCUUUGAACCAUUUCAAUCAACUGGUUCGACAAAUGAUUCAUUUCUUGAUGUGCUUCAUGUGCACACGAAACCACCUGCUGGCCUUGGAUAGAAUUACAGGCAACUGUAUCUUCAUGUGUGAUGCAUUAAAUGCUGAUCUGUUUUGGCUCUAGGACAGAGGUAGGGAACCUAUGGCUCGGGAGCCAGGUAGGGCUCUUUUGAUGACUGUAUCUGGCUCUCAAGCAUUUCUUACCACAAUAAAAAUGCAUUUUUGCUAACAUUUUAAAGUAAACCAUCACAGAAAUGACUGUAAAAAUAAUAUUCAAAAUCAACAACUUUCUUAUGCAUUUUAAUUCGUCCAUCUAUAUUCUGCUGCAAUACGGCCAACCAUAUCUAUCUUUCCUGAUGAUAUUUUCCAGGUCAAACACCAAAACUUGAUUAUUACUGGGUAAUGCUGUAGUCUACCUCGGUCAUUGAGAUGUCAAAAAAACAUGUAAAUGUAAACUUUCCUCCUUUAGUCAAAUAGCUAAAGCUGCAGAACCAAGCCUUCUGGUGAAGAUGGCCAAAAGAAUGAAAUACGUGUACUGAAUACGGUUCAAAACUAUGCAGCAGCAGAAGUUGCAUUAAUGGCAGCAAGUAUUUGAUUUAUUAUUAGACACUGCGCUGCUCACGAAAGUGUGCUGGCCACACACCAUUGGCGUGGGGCAGUGUGCCUGGUCUACGUAAUUAGAGCCCAUUAUAUCUAAAACUGUUGGUCUUACAUAAAAAUGCACACAUUUUAUUGCAUUCAAUGUUUAAAAAAAUGUAUAUGGCUCUCACAGAUACACAUUUUAAAAUAUCUGGUCUUCAUGGCUCUCUUAGCCAAAAAGGUUCCCGACCCCUGCUCUAGGAUAUGAUUAUGUACUACAAAACAUUGUAGAACCACUUAAUUAACCUAAAAAGCGUAAGAUUAAAUAUACAGUAUAUAUAACAUACUGAAUGUUUUAUU